rnacentral:miRNA from 1 species
UUUGGCAUAGUAGGCCCUACACCUAUUUCUGUUUCCUGUGUUCAUAGAGAACACAGGAAACAGAAAUAGGUGUAGGGCCUACUAUGCCAAA